rnacentral:rRNA from 1 species
CCUACGGGAGGCAGCAGUGGGGAAUAUUGCACAAUGGGGGGAACCCUGAUGCAGCAACGCCGCGUGGGUGAAGAAGUACUUCGGCAUGUAAAGCUCUGUCAGCAGGGAAGAAAAUGACGGUACCUGACCAAGCAGCCUCGGCUAAAUAAGUGCCAGCAGCCGCGGUAAUACGUAGGGGGCAAGCGUUCUCUGGAUUUACGGGGGUGAAAGGGAGCGUAGACGGCAAAGCAAGUCUGGAGUGAAAGCCCGUGGCCCAACCACGGGAGUGCUGUGGAAACUGUGUUGCUGGAGUGCAGGAGGGGUAAGCGGAAUUCCUAGUGUAGCGGUGAAAUGCGUAGAUAUUAGGAAGAACACCGGUGGCGAAGGCGGCUUACUGGACUGUAACUGACGUUGAGGCUCGAAGGCGUGGGGAGCAAACAGGAUUAGAUACUCCAGUAGUC